AGUGAACGCUGGCGGUAUGCUUAACACAUGCAAGUCGAACGGCAGCACAGUAAGAGCGUGCGCUUACGGGUGGGGAGUGGGGGACGGGUCAGGAGUACAUCCGAAUCUACUUUUUCGUGGGGGAUAACGUAGGGAAACUUACGCCAAUAUAGCAGACGACCUACGGGUGAAAGCAUGGGAUCUUUGGAGCUGGCGCGGUUGGAUGAGCGGAUGUUGGGUUAGCUAGUUGGGGGGGUAAAGGCCCACCAAGGCGACGAUCGGUAGCUGGUCUGAGAGGAUGAUCGGCCACACUGGAACUGGGACACGGUCCAGACUCCUACGAGAGGCAGCAGUGGGGAAUGUUGGACAAUGGGCGCAAGCCUGAUCCAGCCAUACCGCGUGGGUGAAGAAGGCCUUCGGGUUGUAAAGCCCUUUUGUUGGGAAAGAAAAGCAGCAGGUUAAUACCCCGCGGUUCUGACGGUACCGAAAGAAUAAGCACCGGCUAACUACGUG
rnacentral:rRNA from 1 species